GCCGGCAUAGCUCAGUUGGUAGAGCAAAUCAUUCGUAAUGAUUAGGUCGCAGGUUCAAGUCCUGUUGCCGGCA
rnacentral:tRNA from 1 species